UACGUAGGGUGCAAGCGUUAAUCGGAAUUACUGGGCGUAAAGCGUACGCAGGCGGCUAUGUAAGACAGGUGUGAAAUCCCCGGGCCUAACCUGGGAACUGCAUUUGUGACUGCAUAGCUAGAGUCUGUCAGAGGGGGGUGGAAUUCCUAGUGUAGAGGUGAAAUUCGUAGAUAUUAGGAAGAACACCGGUGGCGAAGGCGGCCCACUGGAUCGGUACUGACGCUGAGGUGCGAAAGCGUGGGGAGCAAACAGG
rnacentral:rRNA from 1 species